GGGGCCUGCGCCGCGACCCCGCCGCGCUGCCGUUGUGCCCAGGCGAUUGCUGUUUCGCGGCUCGGCGAUGCAGACCACGUAAAGGACAACGGAAAACGUCUCCCUGCUGGGGCCGGUUCUGUAACGUAUUGAGCGCUCACGUUCUGAAAAAAACCUUUGGACCCUCUUCUACCUCCGCCGAGAAAGCCCAUCUGGAAGGAAACUCUAAACAGCUUCAGGUGUCACUUGGCUGACAUCACAGCCGACCCGAGAGAGGCAGGAAGAAGUUGUACUUCCGCUGAAGAGAUCUUUUUCUUCUCAUAGAGGCCACGUCUUGAAAAUCUAAAGGAGGAAGGUGGGUGGAGCACUGACAACGCUUGUCUGGCCGUAGCCACGGGAACAAAGGCAGAGUUCAGACUGGGCCUCUGAGGGCAAGGCUCCCCACCCAGGCCAACCGCCCCUGCGUGGAGGUCUGAGUUGUCAAAGAUGACACUGUUUCGGUAACGAGCUCCUGGGCAGACUCCCGACCUAUUUCCAGUGACUGCGUGGCUUCAUUCAGACUGCUAGCCACUGUGGUGGAGAGGAAGACGCUGGAGUGAACAUUCUGUCUUUCAAGAGAGUUCCUGGUUUCCAGGCUGAGCAUCAUUGUGCCUCCAUGCUGUUUCCUUUGGGGCUUCUUGGCAAAAUGCAAAUCCGCCUCCUUGUCCCUUUUCUGGUAGCCGCGCCUCCCCCAGGGUGAAGAUUUCAACCUUGCCCUCGGAGUCGGGCUCUCUGCCCUCUGGAGCUGGACUUUGAACUCCUUUCCAAACGCCAGGAAAAGGACUCUGCCUGGACCGAAAGUCCUUUCCAGCAAAUGUGCCUCCACGUGAAGCGCCAGUGGUUUCAGAAAGCGCUUAAACCUGCACCAGGACUGGUACUGUGCGGAGUGCAGAAGGAACCACUUUCUGGAAUGGGAGCACUUCCUGCUGGCUCCUGGGCUGUUCGAGCUGUGCAGGGUGCCCUCGCUCGGACCCGGCGUCCCUCCUCCCUUUGACUUGAAAAUAGCCGUCUCUUCAUUAUAAUGGAAUUAUUUCUUUUCCCGGCAAUUUCCAAUACUUUUCUCAGUUCAUUUACAUCCAUGGGCUCGAAUGGAAAGCUCAAGGGAUAUAUUUCGUAUCUGGACUUAUCUGUGUUUUGUUGGUUCAAUCUAGUGAUGCCAUCCUGCGUCAUUCAGGGCGCAGGGAAAUGGGAGCAGCUUACACAGGACGAGAGAGGUACCAUAGCGCGACGCUAAGUAAGGUGGGCCCUGAAAUCACGGGGGUUUCGAGCAAUUUGCAAGCAAAUCAAGCUUCCGCAACCUUCAGUUUUUCAGUCUGUGAAGGUUAGAUAAUAAUAACACUUCCCUUACAGUGUUACUGUAAGGCGUGUCCUCAAGGACCCCUUGCGACGCCGCGAGUAACGAAGUCCAACCCAAGCUGUGUUAGAUACUCGAAGGCUUUUACUGACCCGCCUGACUUGAAGAAAGAGUGGGAGGCAGGGAAUGAGGGGAGAAUGAAGUGCCUUCCCACCACCACCCAUAAAUAAGAAUCUUACACUCCGAAUGGGUCAGUUGUGCCCUUGUUACCUGACUCUGAACCAGUCGCUACGGGUGUGGGAAAUGCCAACCACGACCAAAGCUGUCCUGGCCCCCUCUCAGACCCAGGUGUGGCCAGUCCCAUUCUAAGCCCCCGGCUGGGCCAAAAUGGGACAAGGGCAGAAUGGAUGGUAGAGAGGCCACCAUAAUGUCCACUGCACCAGAGUCAUGAGUAACUGAGCACAGGGCUCAGUCUGGGGCUUGGGACUCAGCAUCUCUGUCAGUGCCCGUCGUUCCACGUGCCUCCGGCACCAUAAUCUGCCCUGCCAUCCUCAAUAUUAAGAUGAGCACUCUUUGGGGCGCCUGAGUGGCUCAGUUGGUUGAACGUCCGACCGACUCCAGCUCAGGCCAUGAUCUCAC